rnacentral:rRNA from 1 species
GACGUAGGGUGCAAGCGUUUGUCCGGAUUUACUGGGCGUAAAGCGCGCGUAGGCGGCUCGUUAAGUGGUGGAGUUGAAAUGCCGGGGCUCAACCCCGGAACUGCUUUACAUACUGGCGAGCUUGAGGGAUGCAGAGGUUUGUGGAAUUCCUGGUGUAACGGUGAAAUGUGUUGAUAUCAGGAGGAACACCCAUGGCGAAGGCAGCAAACUGGGCAUCAUCUGA